GACGAACGCUGGCGGCGUGCCUAAUACAUGCAAGUCGAGCGAAUGGAUUAAGAGCUUGCUCUUAUGAGGUUAGCGGCGGACGGGUGAGUAACACGUGGGUAACCUGCCCAUAAGACUGGGAUAACUCCGGGAAACCGGGGCUAAUACCGGAUAACAUUUUGAACCGCAUGGUUCGAAAUUGAAAGGCGGCUUCGGCUGUCACUUAUGGAUGGACCCGCGUCGCAUUAGCUAGUUGGUGAGGUAACGGCUCACUAAGGCAACGAUGCGUAGCCGACCUGAGAGGGUGAUCGGCCACACUGGGACUGAGACACGGCCCAGACUCCUACGGGAGGCAGCAGUAGGGAAUCUUCCGCAAUGGACGAAAGUCUGACGGAGCAACGCCGCGUGAGUGAUGAAGGCUUUCGGGUCGUAAAACUCUGUUGUUAGGGAAGAACAAGUGCUAGUUGAAUAAGCUGGCACCUUGACGGUACCUAACCAGAAAGCCACGGCUAACUACGUGCCAGCAGCCGCGGUAA
rnacentral:rRNA from 1 species